rnacentral:lncRNA from 1 species
CAAAAUAGCAGAACUCCUUAACAGCAAUUAACCGCAAAUGGAUUACACCUUCCAAUUAAAAGGCAGAGAUCGGCAGAAUGGAUUAUAAAAGGAUAACCAUUCCGGAAAACCCAGACUCAAUAAAAAAAUAAAAAUAAAGAGGAUAACUGGACAGUUCAACAAUAAUGGCUGGAGACUUCAGUGCCUUCACUUUCCAUCGUGGAUCUAACAACAGGAAGAAAACACACCGGGAAACAGAAGACCUGAAUAGCACUAACUGCUCCUGAGAUGCCUCCAGACCACUCCACCUGGUGACAGAAAAACAGACUUUCCUCCCAGUGCACAGGAUUCUUCUCCAAAAAGACUCUAUGUUAGGCCACAGAUCACACGUUGGAGAAUUAAAACGGACGGCAAUAAUACAAAGCGUGCUCUCCAACCACAGCAGAAUGAAGUUAGGAAUCAGUAACAGGAGAGAAUUUGGAAAAAUCAAAAACAUGAAAAUUAAGUACCACACUCUUAAAUAACCAAUCAGUCAAGAAAGAGAUCACGAGGGAGGCGGGCACGUUGGCUCACGCCUGUGAUCCCAGCAGUCUGGGGGGCCGAGGCAGGAGGAUCACUUGAGUCCAGGAGUUCGAGACCAGCCUGGGCAACACAGCAAGACCCAGUCUCUACAGAAAAUACAAAAAAUAGCCGGGGCGUGGUGGUGAUACGAGAGGGGGGCAGGGAAGUGCUGGGUAGAGAAAGGAGGGUCCCCGGCCUCGGUGAGGACAGGCUCUCCUGCUCUCCUGCCCAAAUGUUGCAUUUUCCAAGACCACCCUGGCCCGCCAUGCCCCCAUCCUGGUACUAUAAAAACCCAAGACCCUAGCAGGCCGACAAGGCAGCCGGACGUGGAGAGGAGCAGAUCAGUGGAAGAAGACGCCAGCGGCUGCUCGGCAGGAAGACGGCGAGGGAGCAGCAGCCACCGGCGGCGGGACCAGGCGGGGUUUGGCCGGUUGGAGGAGAGCCGGGGCCGCCGAGCAGCCCGCGUCCAGGGCAGAACCGUCUCCCUUCCGGCUCCCCCAGCGGCUGAGAGCUCCUUCCAGGCAAUACGACCCUGGGCGCAUUCUCCAGGCCACGCGUGAUCAGAUUCUGCCGGUACACCGAAGCAGGAACCCGGGAUACGGAAAGCGUCGGUCCUUGCGGCGAGGCGGGGGUCCCAGCACAAACCACCCCCAGACGGCAAACCAGCCGUGCAGCCUGGAACCCACGCCCACCGGGGCCUCAGGCGCCGCGAGACGCUGCCGCGGGGUCGGAGCCCCGCAGCCCGCCCGUCCCCGGAGGCGGCCACCCCCCACCACACCCCCGCGAGGCGCGCGAGGGGCUCUGCGGCUUCUGCGCUCACGCCCGUCGUCCCAGCUGCUCCGUGAGCCCGAGCGCGGGCGAGGCCUGAGUCACACUGAGUCACUGCGCCCCAGCGCGGGCGACGAGAGCCCGUCCCAACAGCAACGACGAGAGGGCGAGGAAGGGGAGGGCGGUGAGGGCACCCGGGACCUCGUGGUGUAUUUUGACGACGGAAUGCGCUUUCGGAGGCGACAGUGGUGACGACGCAGAUGAGGUGACGUGCGCUGGAAGCGCCCCGAGCGCCACCCUGGGCCCGCACACGACUCGGUUUUGCACAGAGCGCGCCUGCCCUGCUGUCUGGCUUGGCGGACAACGAACCAUUUGGUCAGGGCCCAGGCGACCUGUGUGGUCCCGGGGAGGGGCAUGGAGAUGGUGACAGGGUAUCUUCUCCACGCCUCCCUCCCUUCCCCCACUGCCACCUCCGGUUUCCUGGGCAUGGGGCGAAGGGCGACAUCCGAGUCACUGAAGCAGGAAGCAGAGUUGGAAGAGGAGCCGGGAUGGAGAGGCUGGCGUGAGCACAGUGACCAGGACUGAUGCCAGUUGAGACUGGUUAGAGCCACGACAACUGACAAAAGCAGCCAAGGAAAGGAAGACAGCGGGAAGUUCACCGCCCAUUUCCAGAAGACAUGAAUAUUCUUCCCCUCGCUGUUCACCUCCAGCCCCUUCAGUACAGAAACCCUACAUUUAGCCCCUGCCCGCUCACCUGUUGAGAAGUUGAACUGUGGGCCAAGCUCCUGCUUCUCAGUCCGUGGUCACUGAAUAAAGUCGGCUUCGGUUUCAUGUAUCGGCUUCGUGACACCAAACAGGGAAGGACCCCAUCUUUUGGGCAACCGGCUUUCUCAGUAGCAUGUGGACAAGUCUGAGAGCUAAGGACUCCCGGGAAGACCCACUCACAGGAGGUCUCCAUGCUCUUGUGAAUUUUACUUCCUGGAAUGCUGCCAGGUUCUCACAGCGAAAAUCAGAGAAAACCCCCUCAGGGCUCUAGCAGAGACAGGGGAGAAGGGACCAUUUUGAAAUACGCCAGAGUGCUCUGCCCUCUUUAGGAAAAGAAUGGGUUCAUGUCCUUCGCAGGGACAGGGAUGAAGCUGGAAACCAUCAUUCUCAGCAAACCAACACAGGAAC